rnacentral:rRNA from 1 species
GACGAACGCUGGCGGCGUGCUUAACACAUGCAAGUCGAACGGUGAAGCGCCUUCCUUUUUGGUGGGUGUGGAUGAGUGGCGAACGGGUGAGUAACACGUGAGUAACCUGCCCCCUUCUUCUGGAUAACCGCAUGAAAGUGUGGCUAAUACGGGAUAUUCUGGGUCUGUCGCAUGAUGGGUCUGGGAAAGAUAUUGUUUCGGUGGGGGAUGGGCUCGCGGCCUAUCAGCUUGUUGGUGGGGUGAUGGCCUACCAAGGCGGCGACGGGUAGCCGGCCUGAGAGGGUGGACGGUCACACGGGGACUGAGACACGGCCCAGACUCCUACGGGAGGCAGCAGUGGGGAAUAUUGCACAAUGGGCGCAAGCCUGAUGCAGCGACGCCGCGUGAGGGAUGGAGGCCUGCGGGUUGUGAACCUCUUUCGCCAGUGAAGCAGGCCUGCCUCGUUUGUGGGUGGGUUGACGGUAGCUGGAUAAGAAGCGCCGGCUAACUACGUG